rnacentral:misc_RNA from 1 species
GUAGGUGAACCUGCGGAAGGAUCAUUACACUCAGUAGAUUUCUACUGUUAAGGAGAGCGGAACGCUUCCUGAGUCGCUUUUGGCGGCUUGGAUGCAGCAAGUACGUGCCUUAAACCCUUGUCUUUUUGCGUACCCAUGUUUCCUCGGCGGGCUUGCCCGCCGGCUGGACACUUUAAAAACCUUUUUAAUUUUCAAUCAGCGUCUGAAUAAUUAUAAUAAUUACAACUUUCAACAACGGAUCUCUUGGUUCUG